UACGUAGGGUCCGAGCGUUGUCCGGAAUUAUUGGGCGUAAAGGGCUCGUAGGCGGUUUGUCGCGUCGGGAGUGAAAACAUCUGGCUUAACUGGGUGCUUGCUUUCGAUACGGGCAGACUGGAGGUAUGCAGGGGAGAACGGAAUUCCUGGUGUAGCGGUGAAAUGCGCAGAUAUCAGGAAGAACACCCGUGGCUAAGGCGGCUCUCUAGUACGGUACUGACGCUGAGACGCGAAAGCGUGGGGAGCGAACAGG
rnacentral:rRNA from 1 species